CUUUGUGAGGAGUUUCUGGACUACCAGACCAUGGACAUUGCCAUGCCCGACGACCCAGCAAUGUUUGACUUUGAGAGAUUUUGGGGGAACAUGGCAUCAAUGAAGAACAAGGUGACCGGUAUGAGCAGAUUUGGCAGGCUGUCUUAGAUAUUAGAAGAGCCGAAUUAAAUCCUCCCUUCGUCGUAGAGCUCGAGCAUGUGGCGCCUGUGGCCAGGGAUCUCUGGGCAUCGGGUCAUCUGGCUGCAGGUCGGCAAAUGGCACCCCAUUUGCCAGCGCAAUAUUAUGCAGAACCCC